rnacentral:rRNA from 1 species
GAUGAACGCUGGCGGCGUGCUUAACACAUGCAAGUCGAACGGAAAGGCCCUGCUUGCAGGGUACUCGAGUGGCGAACGGGUGAGUAACACGUGGGUGAUCUGCCCUGCACUUCGGGAUAAGCCUGGGAAACUGGGUCUAAUACCGGAUAGGAGCCAUUUUUAGUGUGAUGGUUGGAAAGUUUUUUCGGUGUAGGAUGAGCUCGCGGCCUAUCAGCUUGUUGGUGGGGUAAUGGCCUACCAAGGCGGCGACGGGUAGCCGGCCUGAGAGGGUGGACGGCCACAUUGGGACUGAGAUGCGGCCCAGGCUCCGACGGGAGGAAGCAGUGGGGAAGAUUGCACAAGGGGCGCAAGCCUGAUGCAGCGACGCCGCGUGGGGGAUGACGGCCUUCGGGUUGUAAACUCCUUUCGCUAGGGACGAAGCUUUUUGUGACGGUACCUAGAUAAGAAGCACCGGCUAACUACGUG